UCGAUGGAGACGUCGUGCCACUGCCACCCGGUGGUGGAGACUCUCACCAGGAUGUACUCCACGGCCGCCGCCGCGUCGUCCUCCGUCGAGCGCCGCUUCUGCACCAGCAUCCCGCCGGGCCGCACCUCCCACUCGAUCCUCUCGUGCUCGGCGACCAUGGCGCAGAUGUCCGCGCCGCCGCCGCCGAUGAUGGUGGUGCUCCUGGACCGGCUCCUGAACAGCCUCCUGGGGCUCGGAAUCUUCACCAUCUCCGCUGCUCUCUGCUCCUAGUCAGUAUCUGCCUCGGUCGAUCACUGGCUGGUCGCUGCCGGUGUGCCGGGACUGGCAGCAGGG
rnacentral:misc_RNA from 1 species